UACGUAGGGUGCAAGCGUUAAUCGGAAUUACUGGGCGUAAAGCGUGCGCAGGCGGUUUGGUAAGACAGAUGUGAAAUCCCCGGGCUUAACCUGGGAAUUGCAUUUGUGACUGCCCGGCUAGAGUGUGUCAGGAGGGGUAGAAUUCCGACGUGUAGCAGUGAAAUGCGUAGAUAUGUGGAGGAAUACCGAUGGCGAAGGCAGCCCCUGGAUAACACUGACGCUCUGACACGAAAGCGUGGGAGCAAACAGG
rnacentral:rRNA from 1 species